AUGGACGUUCUUCUCCUAUUCACACUGCUUUGUGUAAAAGCAGAUUUCAGUGACGGUGUUCUGAUCACUCAGUGGCCAAAGUACAUAUCCAGUCGUUCAGGCUCCUCAGUUGAAAUGCACUGUUACCAGAAUGAUACAGACUAUAACUACAAAUACUGGUUCAGACAAAUAAAAGGUGAAGGACCAGUGCUUAUUGGGAGCUACAAUUUUAACUCUCCCUCUAAGGAGGAGGGUUUUGAGAAUGGCUUCAAUUUUUCAGGUACAGAGACAAAGAAAUGGACCCUGACGGUCGAUGUUAAGAAGGGGAUUGAUGCUGUGUAUCUGUGUGCUGCUAGUUUACACAGUGAAUAAACACCAAUAAAUUAUACAACAAAAACUCUUUGAAUAGCAGCCUGUAUCACACCUGACCUCAACCACAAAUAAAAUGAAGUCAUANCUUUACAGACAAGCCAGUAGAACUAAGAGAACAAAUGCAAAUUAUUGACAUUUCACUCCUCCCUUCUACAAAAAAAAGAAAGGUCUUGAUGAUGUCAUACAGUCAAUAGGAGGAGAUGUGACUAUUUUAAUGUGCAGAUUUGCCUCUCUCUGUCUUUGUUAUAGUUUUCUUCCUGCUCUCGUCACAUUAUAUUUGCUUUGCAUGAUCAGUUUUCAUAACCCUUAGAAGGAUGUUUAGAGCUGCAUAUGAACUGUGCAUAUUUUUCUUCUUUUACAUGGGUAAGAAUUCAUUUGAGAUAGCAAUAUAUAUAUUUUAAUCAUUACUUAAUAGAUGUUUUCCAAAUUAAGUGUGAUAUUUCUUAAAGCCUGACUAUUUUCACAGGGAAGGCGAAAUGUGUGCAUGUUCAACAGAAAAUUACAUCCUUAUUUGCAAAUGAAAAUAAUAAAACAGAGAUUAAAUGCACUCAUGAUGACAAUACCAUGAUAAAUAUGCUAUGGUAUCAGCAGAAGGAUACAGCCAUGGUUCUAAUCGGUUACAGAAUGAGUGAAGCUAUUUAUGAGGAUGGAUUUAUAGGCCGGUUUACACUGAAGAAAACAGAUACACUGAAUGGAUCUCUGGAAAUCUCUGAUCUCAGUCUAUCAGACUCUGCUGUUUAUUACUGUGCUGUCAGUUUGCACAGUGCCACAAACUAAAAUUACUGCUUAACUAAAACUCAAGCACACAGGAAACCAGAAAGUGGUAGAUAGGUUUCAUAUCUCUGCUUUGAUAUUCUUAUAUUCUUUAAAAUAGUUUUUUUUUUUCUUUCUCAAUGUUUUGACUUGAAGGUCCCCGGUUGGCCAACAUAAUAUUUGAAUAUUUGACCUAUGAGAUGCAAGCUGCUAGCAAACAACAGCAGAUAUUAGAAUGUUAAAUGAUAAGUGUUCACCUUAAAAGCAGCAAAGACAUAAUCUUUAUGUACGUGUUCUCAGCCAAAGCAACAAACUACAGAUGCCGUUAUGUCAAAAUCCAAAUUUUAGAGUAUUUGAUUGGUUCACAUUCACCCUACAUAAUUUAAUAUAGAUUUUUUUUUUGUAUUAAUUGAAAGCAAAGAAAUUAAGUUUAAAAGAGAAACAUAGCUUUGUUGUUUAGAUCACAAAUAAUGUGAUAAAUAAAAGUAAAUUUGAAAAUCUCGUAACCCCCCCCCCAUUUCAGUGCUUAAUAAAUGUAUUUUCAUUAGUCACAUGCAAAAAUGUUACAUAAUGUAGGUCCAUAUAUUAUUUACAACUUAACAUUUUUACAACUUCAUUUCACCAUAGACAAAAUCUAAUUUAGCUAUAUGAAAGUAGAAUUUUCACUUAAGAUCAAACUUUGCCAGGUAAUGUUGAACAGAAUGCCAACUUAAAUGUUUUUGUUCAUAAAAAGAAAUAUUGACUGGUUUUUGACUUUUUUUUCUUUUGCCAGGUUGAAUGAAAUGAAUGAUCGGGUGAUACACAGAAGAUAUUUUUACUUUCAACAACUCUUUGUAAGACGCAGCCAACAGAUAUACUGCCAUAUCGCACUGCUACUCGUGUGAUAUUGCUCAUUUAUAUCUAUUGAAAUGAAUUAAAUUCAUGCUGAAUUUCAUUUAAUUAAAAUUUAAAUUAUUUCUUAA
rnacentral:lncRNA from 1 species